GCCCAGACUCCUACGGGAGGCAGCAGUGGGGAAUAUUGCACAAUGGGCGCAAGCCUGAUGCAGCCAUGCCGCGUGUAUGAAGAAGGCCUUCGGGUUGUAAAGUACUUUCAGCGGGGAGGAAGGCGAUAAGGUUAAUAACCUUGUCGAUUGGCAUUACCCGAAGAAGAAGCACCGGCUAACUCCGUGCCAGCAGCCGCGGUAAUACGGAGGGUGCAAGCGUUAAUCGGAUUUACUGGGCGUAAAGCGCACGCAGGCGUUCUGUCAAGUCGGAUGUGAAAUCCCCGGGCUCAACCUGGGAACUGCAUUCGAAACUGGCAGGCUGGAGUCUUGGAGAGGGGGGUAGAAUUCCAGGUGUAGCGGUGAAAUGCGUAGAGAUCUGGAGGAAUACCGGUGGCGAAGGCGGCCCCCUGGCCAAAGACUGACGCUCAGGUGCGAAAGCGUGGGGAGCAAACAGGAUUAGAUACCCCCGUAG
rnacentral:rRNA from 1 species